UACGUAGGUGACCAGCGUUGUCCGGAUUUACUGGGCGUAAAGAGCGCGCAGGCGGUCGUUCAAGUCGAGUGUGAAAGCCCCCGGCUCAACUGGGGAGGGUCACUCGAUACUGAUCGACUUGAAGGCAGGAGAGGAUAGCGGAAUUCCCAGUGUAGAGGUGAAAUUCGUAGAUAUUGGGAAGAACACCGGUGGCGAAGGCGGCUAUCUGGACCGACAUUGACGCUGAGGCGCGAAAGCGUGGGGAGCAAACAGG
rnacentral:rRNA from 1 species